rnacentral:ncRNA from 1 species
UUUUAUAAGAAUAUGAUGUUGGUUCAGAUUAAGCGCUAAAUAAGGACAUGACACAUGCGAAUCAUACGUUUAUUAUUGAUAAGAUAAUAAAUAUGUGGUGUAAACGUGAGUAAUUUUAUUAGGAAUUAAUGAACUAUAGAAUAAGCUAAAUACUUAAUAUAUUAUUAUAUAAAAAUAAUUUAUAUAAUAAAAAGGAUAUAUAUAUAAUAUAUAUUUAUCUAUAGUCAAGCCAAUAAUGGUUUAGGUAGUAGGUUUAUUAAGAGUUAAACCUAGCCAACGAUCCAUAAUCGAUAAUGAAAGUUAGAACGAUCACGUUGACUCUGAAAUAUAGUCAAUAUCUAUAAGAUACAGCAGUGAGGAAUAUUGGACAAUGAUCGAAAGAUUGAUCCAGUUACUUAUUAGGAUGAUAUAUAAAAAUAUUUUAUUUUAUUUAGUUCCGGGGCCCGGCCACGGGAGCCGGAACCCCGAAAGGAGAAAUAUUAAAUAUUUAUAAUAAUAAUAAUAAUAAUAUAUAUAUAUAAAUUGAUUAAAAAUAAAAUCCAUAAAUAAUUAAAAUAAUGAUAUUAAUUACCAUAUAUAUUUUAUAUGGAUAUAUAUAUUAAUAAUAAUAUUAAUUUAUUAUUAUUAAUAAUAUAUUUUAAUAGUCCUGACUAAUAUUUGUGCCAGCAGUCGCGGUAACACAAAGAGGGCGAGCGUUAAUCAUAAUGGUUUAAAGGAUCCGUAGAAUGAAUUAUAUAUUAUAAUUUAGAGUUAAUAAAAUUAAUUAAAGAAUUAUAAUAGUAAAGAUGAAAUAAUAAUAAUAAUUAUAAGACUAAUAUAUGUGAAAAUAUUAAUUAAAUAUUAACUGACAUUGAGGGAUUAAAACUAGAGUAGCGAAACGGAUUCGAUACCCGUGUAGUUCUAGUAGUAAACUAUGAAUACAAUUAUUUAUAAUAUAUAUUAUAUAUAAAUAAUAAAUGAAAAUGAAAGUAUUCCACCUGAAGAGUACGUUAGCAAUAAUGAAACUCAAAACAAUAGACGGUUACAGACUUAAGCAGUGGAGCAUGUUAUUUAAUUCGAUAAUCCACGACUAACCUUACCAUAUUUUGAAUAUUAUAAUAAUUAUUAUAAUUAUUAUAUUACAGGCGUUACAUUGUUGUCUUUAGUUCGUGCUGCAAAGUUUUAGAUUAAGUUCAUAAACGAACAAAACUCCAUAUAUAUAAUUUUAAUUAUAUAUAAUUUUAUAUUAUUUAUUAAUAUAAAGAAAGGAAUUAAGACAAAUCAUAAUGAUCCUUAUAAUAUGGGUAAUAGACGUGCUAUAAUAAAAUGAUAAUAAAAUUAUAUAAAAUAUAUUUAAUUAUAUUUAAUUAAUAAUAUAAAACAUUUUAAUUUUUAAUAUAUUUUUUUAUUAUAUAUUAAUAUGAAUUAUAAUCUGAAAUUCGAUUAUAUGAAAAAAGAAUUGCUAGUAAUACGUAAAUUAGUAUGUUACGGUGAAUAUUCUAACUGUUUCGCACUAAUCACUCAUCACGCGUUGAAACAUAUUAUUAUCUUAUUAUUUAUAUAAUAUUUUUUAAUAAUUAUUAAUAUUAUUAAUUUUUAUUUAUUUAUAUCAGAAAUAAUAUGAAUUAAUGCGAAGUUGAAAUACAGUUACCGUAGGGGAACCUGCGGUGGGCUUAUAAAUAUC